AGCAGCCGCGGUAAUUCCAGCUCCAAUAGCGUAUAUUAAAGUUGUUGCAGUUAAAAAGCUCGUAGUUGAAUUUCGGGAUUGGCGCAUCGGUCGUGCCUCACGGGGUAUGAACUGGUGCAGUCAAUUUCUCACCUUCUGGAGAACCGCGAUGUCCUUAAUUGGAUGCCGCGGGGAACCAGGACCUUUACUUUGAAAAAAAUUGAGUGUUUAAAGCAGGCAUUUUUGCUUGAAUACAUUAGCAUGGAAUAAUAAAAUAGGACGGCAUGGUUCUAUUUUGUUGGUUUCUAGGACCACCGUAAUGAUUAAUAGGGAUAGUUGGGGGCAUUAGUAUUCAAUUGUCAGAGGUGAAAUUCUUGGAUUUAUUGAAGACUAACUACUGCGAAAGCAUUUGCCAAGGAUGUUUUCAUUAAUCAAGAACGAAAGUUAGGGGAUCGAAGACGAUCAGAUACCGUCGUAGUCUUAACCAUAAACUAUG
rnacentral:rRNA from 1 species